AGUUGCAAUGAGAGUGAUGCAAUAUGUGGAAACCAUAAAGCAUGUUAGAUUUGACUUUACUCUCUCUACUGACUUACCUUAAAAUACUCAGUUAAGUUUAGAAGCUCUGUGCUUUUCUUUCAAGCCCCAAAUUCAAGCAGAAGUCUUGGUUCUUGCAUUUCAGGUGUUAGAAAGCAUUCCAUGCCCAAGAACAAACAAACAAAGCAUCCAUGUUGCUUUGAAAGAUGAAGAGAGAAGAGAAAAAACAGACUAAAAGUACAUCUUGCUCUUAGUGGACUACUCUGAAGUAUGAGCGGAGACAGUAUGGAAUAGAAUAGGUCACCUGAAAACUGUUUGCCAUAGUUGCCAUUGUUUUCCAUGGUUUCUACAACCAUAGAGAAAUCAAAUGAUAUCUUUGUUUUACAGUUUUUCCUUUCUCAAACUGAUAAAAAUAGUACUCUUUUCAUCUACUUCAGAGGGGUGUUGUAAAGACAAAUAUCUUGAGGCUUGCUAACAGCUAAGAUCCUAAUGUGUGCAAAUAACCAUAAUGUGUCCUCACAGCAAAUUUUGUCUUAUCUGAGCCCUCUUUUGCAAUCACGCAUUACAGACGUUGUCCUACCUUUGCUGACUACAAGGUAAUUCAGUAUUUUACCUUACUUUUAUUAUUAUUUUUUUAAGUUCAUUUGUCUGCCUAAUCAGUUCCUGAUACUUCUGCACUAGAAGUUUCCCCAGAGGGCUGAGGGUGAUGCCUGGCAAGGGAAGGUGUGAGGGACUUGAUGACCAGUUCCUGGUGCAAUUAUGUCCUUCUGAGCAGAGGGGAAGCCAGGAAUAACUUCUGCAGAAAAACUGCAGAAAGGGUAAACUGGGGGAGAUGAAAAGAAAUUGCUACUGGGCUACAAAAAUAGGAACAUAAAGAGAACAAGAAGUAUGGAAUGGGAGACACAUACAAGUAAAAUGCCAAGGUCAGUACCAUUAAGUCUCACAAGACCUUGUGUUUACUGGUCAUAUCAAAGGCUAUGUAUGUCUAGCACAACAUGUGUUCCUUCCCUCACCUGGUAUUUAGUCAUUGCUUGUGAUGGUGAAUCAGACAGGUCACCCUAGUGCUUUGCUCCAGCCCAUCUUGCGCACAGCGUGGCACCAAACUGAUGGCUGCUCCUUGCCCUGCGACUCCCAGCUUCCCUUAGCUUUCACACAGCGAGUUGCCUCUGAUCUAAACAUCUUCAGCUGCUGCCCUCCUCGUAGGGGGCCUCAUGUUUGGCAGCCGCUGCUGGAUCAGGCCCAUGCAACGGCUAUCACAGCUUGUCUUCUCCAGCUUAGCUCCAGGUUACCAGAGUCCAAGAACGAAGCAAAAGUUCUUUGAUCCCGACAAUGGUGCAGCGCAUGUGACAUGCAUCAGCAGCAUGAAGGCAGAGGGACCAGGACAGGUCUCAUCUGGAAAGGGGCUGAGCAUUAGGGUGGGUGUCAUGGGGAAGAUCUACGAUGAGGUAACAGCUGUUUGCAUAAUGGGGACUGGAUGGGCACAAGUCAUGAAAGACAAAGUCAGGCCAAGGGCCCGUAGGAUCCAGGAGGCCUUCGCACCCAUGAAAACACCGCUGCUGAGUCAGGCCCGGGGCUGCUUGCACACCCAAGAAAUACACAUGUGCUGAUAGAAAGCAGAUUUAAAAGGUACCUAAAAUAAUAGUUUGUUAAGACAGUAUUACAGUCAUAUAACUUGUUGGGAAAAGCACACCAUGGCUCAAAAUCUGAAUUAAACAUGUGUCAUUGUGGAGAAGGAAGAAAUAUUCCACCUUCCAGAAACCUGAUAUUUUGGACCAGAUCCCUCUCUGAACAGGUUGUAUGCUGCCCUUUUCAAAAUCAAGCUAUCAGAAGAUGCCCUUCAGCAGAAGUGUUAAGAGGACUUGGUGAGCUUAACAUGUUUCGCCUGCUUAAUUUAAUUUGGAAAAAUUCAACCAGAAAAUGAAGUUAUUAACAGUAUAAAGGAAGGUGUAUACUCAAGAAUUGCUAUCGGACCAUGUUGCUGAAGAUAACAAGUCACUAAUGGAAAAGCAGAAAUGUUUUGAGGAGCAGUAUCUGCCACCCUCUCUUCUGUACUAACCACCAACAGCUGGAGACCAGGCAGCAGAAAGGCAAGAGGAGCACGUCUCAUAGAUGCGUGUGCUUAGGCUUGAGGCUGAGCAAAGUUUCCAGGAGAAAGGAAUAGUAGGAUGUGAGAUCUACCUCAGAGACAGGCAAGUCCCCUUUCCACACCGGUAAGGAAGGUCUUUUUGCUGGCAGCAGGGCCCCGGAGCACCCAACGGCGUCGGUCUGCUGCCUCCCACGGCUGCAGCUAUCUGCUCUGCGCACGACAAAUGGCCGGGGCCGUGGCACCUUCAACUUUUGCAGCUGGUUCCUCUUGAACGUAGUCUUGCAGAAAGCAAAAUGUCAAGGUAAAAGAAAUAAUUGACCAUAGAAAGCAAGAAGCUGAAUGUCUGCUGCACAUCACGGAUGUUAAGUGUGGAGCAUCCAGUGUUCAUAGCUGUCCCAUCAUGAAGUGAAAGUGCUGGGGAAGAAGGAAGGCUGCCCUCCUCACCCUGCCCGUGCUGGGGCCACCUUGAUUUGCACUGCAACCAUACCUGGCUGGGCUUAUGGAAGUGGAUGGUUUAGAAAUCCACAUGAAGAAAAAAAAAAAGCUAAACAAACAAACCCACAAAAACAACAACAACAAACACACACACACACACACACAACCAUUAGCUUCACAGAUACAGGAAUAUCAGGGCUUUAGGCAGAGUUGGGACCACCCUGUACACAGAUGAGAUGAAACUGCAUUAGCUCAGCCUGACUAUCAGUUUGUAUACUGUCAUCCAGGCUGGAUAUUUCUAAAGUUUUCAGAGAAAACAGCAUCUUUUCUGGCUACUUGGUUUCCCUCUCAUUCUUAAUAUUUGAACUACACACUUCUUCAUAUUUGUUAUAAACAGCCCACUUGUUGUUCCUUGUUCCAUAUUCAUGAAGGUACUUUUUAAUAAUUACUUUGUGUAUUUUUAUUUUUUUA